UCGCCGGUCGGUGAGCUCGUUUCUCUGGAAAGAGGCGAAGAGGUUGUGAGUGUUCAUCAGCAGGAUCACAAAAAGAGCUACGAUGAAGAGGAACUUGCCACACCGGUAGACGCGGCCAAAUUUGAGCGACAGUAUCCGCAGCAUGCUGGUUGGCAACAGCGCACUGAGAGUGAGAGCAGUUAAUCUUUGUCAAUGCGGCUGUUCCAUCAUUGCUAUGUGUAAUAUCAUCAUCCCCAUCACGUUCACGUUAGUUAGAUUGCUCUAUAGUGGCAGCAGUGUUGCCUGGUCAGCUCAUCGGUUUCAAGAGCCCCUCUCACCAUGUUUUACACAAGGGAUUUAUGGUUUUACGUCGAGUUGGCAUUAAGCUGCCACAUCAGAAAUCCCUCUACC